GGGCAAGUAAAGGAUAAUGGCAUGACAUUUGUACAAUUGGAUAUUGAUUCAUGAUAUUAUGAAAAGGUUAAUGUGAUAAAUGAUAUGUACAUGAAAAACUACUUAUGAUAUGGUUGAAAUUAUAUGCAUCAUGUAUGAACUUACUAACUUGUGAGUUUGAUGUUGCUUAUAUAGGAUUUUACUAAGCCUAUGGUCUCGGUAACGAUGUUAUGCUUAUUUUAUAAUUUGUGCUUAAGAAUGG
rnacentral:lncRNA from 1 species